GCGGGUCCCAGUCUGCUCAAAUGUCAGAGCCCAGUAUACGUGUCUUUUGUCAGCAAGGCCACCUUGUGGGAACGAGGACUCUGCCGCCAAACCGCCCACAAACGUCCAAACCACGGUCCCUUAUUGUGUCCACGGUUCUUGUCUCACAUGACCGCCCGCCCCGAGGACCUCAGGCCUCCUUGUGUCCCGAGCUCCGGGUCCAGACCGCUGCCCCCCCCUCGGGAGAAGACGGCGGUAACGCACGCCCUCGCUGCACCGAAGACACAAACGCUGGACGGUUUCUUCCGUCUCCAUCCAGACGGGAGAAGGAAAAGUGCGCCGAUGGCGGGAAGGCGCUCUGCUGCUGUUGUUGUUCCCUGUCCUCCACCCUCCGCUGCCCCACCGCCACGCACCGCCAACCCAACACCGCCCCGCCAAAACUCCCCGCACGGCGACUUCGAGAGGCGGCGAAGAAGCCGGUCGGCAUCUCCCUGCGACGAGCCACCUGCCCCGGGGGGGGGCGUUGAAGUCCGUGAGACGGCUCCGCGACCCGCCGCCGCGUCCCCCCACCCGGGCUGCCGGCUGCCUGCGGAGCCGAAUGGAUCGGAAGCGCCACCGCCGCCGGCGGCCUCCUCCUCCUCCUCCAUCUCACACGGGUCGCUCUCAGAUUUCAGCCGCCCACCGUCCAGCCGGUUCAGCCGCAGCACCGACCUCGCCAGCGGCCGGAGCAGCGUCCUGUCCGGCGAUCUCGGAGACUCGGAGCCAGGAGGCGGCGUUUGCUCCUCACCGCUCCAGCCUCGCCCGGUGACGGGGUCACCCUCGGCUCCUCGCCCUCCGCCGGCAUCCCACCCUCGCCAACCAUCCGCCGAUGCUUCGGCCACCCCUCUCCUCUACGAACCGCUAUUUGGGCAAACCCGACCCCUCUCGCCGCCGUCGACGUCAGGUGGGCUUCGUCAAUCAGAUAACCCUCCGAGCAGGAGCGAAAGCCCCGAUGCGACAAAGUAUCUCCAACCAGUUCCAUCAGAAGCUCCUGGUCCCCACCCAUCCAUGGCCUCCGACCGCGGCCUCGUCGGCCUGGCUUUCCCCUCCGCCACCUGGUCCUCCUGCCCGAGUCCGCAGAGGACCACUCCCCGCUCCUCGGGGUCAGGACCGGCUCCGACCCCUCCUGCGUCGGCGCCCCGUCUGGAGUCUCGUCGCUGGUCCCCGCUGCCUCCCAUCUCCCCUGUCGGAGGACGCUGUGGCACCGCAGCAUCCCGCUACUCCGAGCUCAGCUGCACUCAGUCCCGCGCGUUCGAUGAGCUGGAGGCCAUCGCCCCUCGCUCGCUGUCCUCCCCGUCUCUGGACCGGCUGUCGGACUCCUCCGGGUGCCCUUCACCUGACACAGAGCUGUCUCCGGGCCUGGCGGCGCUGACGGUGGGCUGUGACUCCGGGACCCUGGGCUCUCUGUCCCGGGUGCAGCUGCUCCUCCUGGACCGGCCGCAGCCCGACACCCGGCCGGGUCUGUUCGGCCCGGAAGAGGAGCUCUCGCCGGUGCAAGACUGGCCUCGUCUCGCGAUGCAACAUGAAGGUGGCGUGAGGCCCCGCACAGCUGGCGGCGUCUCUGAAAGGUGUGACUCCGCAGGGAAAGUCCACGAAAACAAAUCGGAGGGGUCCGAAGACGGUUUCUGGCUCUCCGUCUUCGUGGAUCAUCGACCCGGAGUCCAUCGCUCGCCAUGUUCAGAUCCGCCCUCUCCCCUUGCGUGUCCGAUCUCGGUUCCAGCGGAGGGGAAGGGGGCCCCGCCGAGGAGGAGGAGGAGGCCAAUUAUCCGGGAUGGGGGCAACAAGUCGAAUCCUCAGCCGCAGGACGGAGGCCCGCGAGCCUUGAUGGCAGAAGUGAGGAGAGGAAGCGGAGGAUGGAGGAGAGGAAAACAAAGGUGCUGAGCUUGCUCUCCAAGCUGCAGGACGACGGGCCGCGGCAGCCAAAGGGCCACCGGAGCUGCUCCAACUUCCAGGACUUUGACUUUUUGGCAAAGUAUUGCAUUUUCAGUCAGGAGAAGCUGGCCGAGUACAAAAGGGCUUUUGAAGCAGAGGACGCUGAUGAUGACGGCUACAUAUCCUGCCUUCAGGCUCUGCUCGCGCUCAAGAGCGUCAUCCCCGCGGAGCGGCUGUCCGACGAAGAAGAAAUCUACGUCUACAGGGUCGGCACACGCACGCCGAGUCGCUCUGACCGAGUCUCACCCUCAAACUUUAGUCUCGACUUCCCAAAGAAUGUUUCUCGCCUUAUCGUUAUUAAGAUUAAGAGUCCACAGGAUGCUGGAGACACAUCUUUGUCUUUUUCGGUCCAUUCCCUUGUCAACCGGUGCCGAUGACGUCAUCUCCGUGGCCACGCUCGCCGCCUCGACUACUUAUGAGUGUCCUUUUUUUUUUUUUUUUUUGUCUCUGCCCGUCCCAGAUCUUAGAGAUGGUGGACUUCAGCGUGACAGAUGGGCUGGUGGACCUCCGGCUCUUUGCUGUGAUUGCGAGCCUGGCGCAGAAAGUGGCGGCCAUGGAUGAGUUCAUGCGAUCGCUAAUCACCGACAUGGACUUCCGCUCGUUAGAAGUGAGGCUCUUCAAAGCGAAGGUAACAUAAAGGUUCGGUUUGCAUUUCCCCAAAUUCUCUUAAGCGUCCGCUGGCUAGUGGUUCCCCGUGCUCUUGAAUUUGCAUUCACAAGGUGCACUUGGCUCCACGCAACCUCAGAUUAACUCUCACAUGAGUCACAUUCAUGCCACAAACUCCGUCUCCACCCCUCUUUCAUGGCUCCGCGGGUAUAAUUAUAAUGAAAUAAAUACUGGUAAACACUUUGAAGAGCAAUUCCAAAGCAUGCUUUGUAAAGCCAGCUUCUCUCUUUUUUUUCCUUCUCUUUUUUUUAAAUGAAAGACACUCAGCCCGCAUGCAUAGAAAUGAGGGAAGCCGGCCGGAGGAAGAAAGAGAGGGGUCCUUUUCCCUUUUCAUAGAUUAGCAAAGCCCUAAUCUCAUUAAAGUGCCCAGCAGCGAACAUGCCGUCCGCUCCGCCCAGCCCUGUAAUCAGCCUGAGACACACGGCUCAUCUCGGAUGGACCGGACCGGCCCACCAGCUGGCCCGCCCGCGACCAGGCCCGGCGGCCCCCAUUCACACGAGGAAGUGCUGAGCAACUGAAAGGCAGGGGGAACAUGAGAACGGGCUGAUUUCCAGAGGGAUUAUUCACCCUACCACCGCAAUUAUCACCUUCACUGCAUUAACUGUGCAAACAGGUGCACUCGGACGGGACCAGAAACGGGUAAUCUGAGGCUGAGAAUUGCACACGAUAUCGUGUUUGCACCCGCACGCUGCUCGGGGGGAGGGGGGAGUGGGGGUUCACAGCCAGUUUGCCUUGUUUUUUUGCACCUUUUAUGUAUGACAAAUAUUAUUGUCAUCACUAUGCAGCAACUGUUCCUGUUCCUCAUGGAGGAGCAGCAAGGAGACGCCGGAGCCCAGCGGGGCUCCAUCAGCGCGGAGCAGCUCCUUCUGGAGCUGAAGGCCGGGGGCAUCCACCUGGAGCAGGAGGCGGCCGUGCGGCUGGAGCUGCAGCGCAUCCCCCCCCUGGACCUGCUGGACUUCCUGGCCUACCUGCCGCUCUUCAUGCUCAUUCACAAGUCGGUCAUCGCCAACCCUCUCAAUGACUCCGGCGACCUCUGACCUCGGCCCUUGGCACCUGGCGAAGCAGCGUCACUGCCGUUAAAUCCACCAACACGCAGGAACCCUUCAUUUAAUUUGUUUUGUUUUUACAUUACUAGUAAAGAUAAGUCUGGUUAUUAGCUAUUUAGUUAGCCUGGAAUGCUAACGUGCAGUUAGCUGCUAACUGCCAGCUCAGCACGUUGAGCGUUAUGAAACUUUUGCAACUUCUUUUCACAACCACUUGAUGUUUGUCUCAUUGAUUAAUAUAUUGUUCUGUGGUUCCUGUUAACGUUUCAUGGAGCUGUGAAGUGCUGUCUAUGGUCCUGAAAUGUUUCCGUAGAUGUUGCAGCCGUUUGAAAAAGCUUUAAACGCAUCAAAAAGUUGCAUUAAAUAAAAGCACCUCCAAACGGGGCGGGGCUCUCUUCUUUGGGGGGCGGGGCUCUCCUCUUCAGGGGGCGGGACUCACCUUAAAACGUUCAGAUGCAUCUGGGUGUUCUGGAGAAAACAACAUGUGAAACGCUGCGACUGCCGUGGUCUUCUAUCCAACUUAAUCAACACUGAUGAAUGAAACUCAAUGAGAUAUUCAACCAAUGAACUUUGAGCCAUUGUUUUGCCUCAGCUUUGCCAAUUAGAUAAGGCCCGUGUUCUCCUGAGGCUCAUGCACGCUCCACAGGCCGCCACAGAGGAGAAGGUAAUGGACUGUGACAGGGCAACAGACCCGGACUGCUAAAAUCCCAACAAACUAGAGAAAGAAUUUAUUCUAAAUAUUCUAAUCAAGUAUGGAUCACAAAACACUGAACUUAAAGGAGUCUUUAUGUUUUCAUUUUAGUAACUAAAAACAUUUAUUUAAGCACACUGAUUGGGAGGAAGACAUUCUCCAAAUACAAUCUCUCUCUGGAUUCCUCCUGUCUUGUCCUUCAAAAAAAUGAUUCCACAAAGUUUGAUACAAAUCUACUUUGUUAUAUUUAACAACAGAACAGAAGGAAUCCAGUAUAUAAUAUAAAUGACAUACUAAAAGUCUGUGGUUGUGUAUUUGGGCAUAGACGUUGUUGUUCGCAAUCGUUUUACCUCUUCUUUUAUUGGACAUUAUUUGGCAAGUUGUCUUUUAUUUGUUUAUCCAAAUCAAAUUUAGGAAUAAAAAAUGCUGACGAGACACGUUUUGUAGUUGAAGU
ensembl:lncRNA